rnacentral:misc_RNA from 1 species
AUCCAAGGCCCCAGUUCCAGUCGUUUUGCAAGUGUUUGACUCAAUCUGAUAUAAAAAGCAAUUGGGGACUGUCUGUGCCCCUGAAAGAUGCUGUCAAAUGCUUUCCUCCCUUGGACAUGCGACAAGAAAAACCAUGCCAAGAACUGAUAGCAAAGGAUCUUAAAGGAAAUGAAUGGCGCUUUAAACAUGCACACCAAGGCCAACCACGGAGGCAUUCACUCACAA